rnacentral:rRNA from 1 species
GUGAAGCAGCAAUAGCUCAAAUUUGAAAUCUGGCGUCUUCGACGUCCGAGUUGUAAUUUGUAGAGGAUGCUUCUGAGUAACCACCGACCUAAGUUCCUUGGAACAGGACGUCAUAGAGGGUGAGAAUCCCGUAUGCGGUCGGAAAGGUGCUCUAUACGUAGCUCCUUCGACGAGUCGAGUUGUUUGGGAAUGCAGCUCUAAAUGGGAGGUAAAUUUCUUCUAAAGCUAAAUAUUGGCCAGAGACCGAUAGCGCACAAGUAGAGUGAUCGAAAGAUGAAAAGCACUUUGGAAAGAGAGUUAAAAAGCACGUGAAAUUGUUAAAAGGGAAGGGAUUGCAACCAGACUUGCUCGCGGUGUUCCGCCGGUCUUCUGACCGGUCUACUCGCCGCGUUGCAGGCCAGCAUCGUCUGGUGCCGCUGGAUAAGACUUGAGGAAUGUAGCUCCCUCGGGAGUGUUAUAGCCUCUUGUGAUGCAGCGAGCGCCGGGCGAGGUCCGCGCUUCGGCUAGGAUGCUGGCGUAAUGGUCGUAAUCCGCCCGU